AUGUUGUUCAUGGCCACCAUUAUGCAGCUAGAGAUUGAAGUUGGCCCGGUUAAUAAUGUUUUCAAAUUUGAUGUGGAACCACGUUCCGACGACAAGUGCUACAUCGCGAUGCGUGUGGUCAGGAGUCUCAAAAAUAACAAUUAUUGUUCUGCAUUUGAUGUCAAUAGAGAUAUCUACAUCAGCUUACCAAAAUUGGAUCAUGUUGAGAAGCUAUGCAAGAAGAAACAUGAUAUUUUUGGCUUGAAGUACGUGAGUUUCCAGCGAGUGCAAGAGGUAAUGCAGUUGCCAGAGAAUGGGGAUGUUGCAAUUACAACGUAUAUCACUCCACUUGACGAUUUGAGUGAGGAUGAUGAUGUGACCUCCCCAUUAAAGAGAUCAAGGCAAGAGUAG
rnacentral:rRNA from 1 species